UCCAUAGCGAUGUGUUCUGGCAAACAANCGGCUGUUAACCGAUCGGUCGUAGGUUCGAGUCCUACCUGUGGAGCCA
rnacentral:tRNA from 1 species